GACGAACGCUGGCGGCGUGCUUAACACAUGCAAGUCGAACGGAAAGGCCCUGCUUUUGUGGGGUGCUCGAGUGGCAAACGGGUGAGUAACACGUGAGUAACCUGCCCUUGACUUUGGGAUAACUUCAGGAAACUGGGGCUAAUACCGGAUAGGAGCUCCUGCUGCAUGGUGGGGGUUGGAAAGUUUCGGCGGUUGGGGAUGGACUCGCGGCUUAUCAGCUUGUUGGUGGGGUAGUGGCUUACCAAGGCUUUGACGGGUAGCCGGCCUGAGAGGGUGACCGGCCACAUUGGGACUGAGAUACGGCCCAGACUCCUACGGGAGGCAGCAGUGGGGAAUAUGGCACAAUGGGGGGAAGCCUGAUGCAGCAACGCCGCGUGCGGGAUGACGGCCUUCGGGUUGUAAACCGCUUUCGCCUGUGACGAAGCGUGAGUGACGGUAAUGGGUAAAGAAGCACCGGCUAACUACGUG
rnacentral:rRNA from 1 species